rnacentral:rRNA from 1 species
GACGAACGCUGGCGGCGUGCUUAACACAUGCAAGUCGAACGGAAAGGCCCUGCUUGCAGGGUACUCGAGUGGCGAACGGGUGAGUAACACGUGGGUGAUCUGCCCUGCACUUCGGGAUAAGCUUGGGAAACUGGGUCUAAUACCGGAUAGGAGCCAUCUUUAGUGUGGUGGUUGGAAAGUUUUUUCGGUGUAGGAUGAGCUCGCGGCCUAUCAGCUUGUUGGUGGGGUAAUGGCCUACCAAGGCGGCGACGGGUAGCCGGCCUGAGAGGGUGUACGGCCACAUUGGGACUGAGAUACGGCCCAGACUCCUACGGGAGGCAGCAGUGGUGAAUAUUGCACAAUGGGCGCAAGCCUGAUGCAGCGACGCCGCGUGGGGGAUGAAGGCCUUCGGGUUGUAAACUCCUUUCGCUAGGGACGAAGCUUUUUUGUGACGGUACCUAGAUAAGAAGCACCGGCUAACUACGUG